UAGGGAAUCUUCCACAAUGGGCGCAAGCCUGAUGGAGCAACGCCGCGUGAGUGAGGAAGGCUUUCGGGUCGUAAAGCUCUGUUGCCAGGGAAGAAUAAGGGCCAGUUAACUGCUGGUUCGAUGACGGUACCUGAGAAGACAGCCCCGGCUAACUACGUGCCAGCAGCCGCGGUAAUACGUAGGGGGCAAGCGUUGUCCGGAAUUAUUGGGCGUUAAGCGCGCGCGGGCGGGCUGUUAAGUCUGGUGUCUAAGUGCGGGGCUCAACCCCGUGAUGCACUGGAAACUGGGAGACUUGAGGGCAGAAGAGGAGAGCGGAAUUCCACGUGUAGCGGUGAAAUGCGUAGAGAUGUGGAGGAACACCAGUGGCGAAGGCGGCUCUCUGGACUGUAACUGACGCUGAGGCGCGAAAGCGUGGGGAGCAAACA
rnacentral:rRNA from 1 species